rnacentral:rRNA from 1 species
GACGAACGCUGGCGGCGUGCUUAACACAUGCAAGUCGAACGGAAAGGCCCUGCUUUUGUGGGGUGCUCGAGUGGCGAACGGGUGAGUAACACGUGAGUAACCUGCCCUUGACUUUGGGAUAACUUCAGGAAACUGGGGCCAAUACCGGAUAGGAGCUCCUGCUGCAUGGUGGGGGUUGGAAAGUUUCGGCGGUUGGGGAUGGACUCGCGGCUUAUCAGCUUGUUGGUGGGGUAGUGGCUUACCAAGGCUUUGACGGGUAGCCGGCCUGAGAGGGUGACCGGCCACAUUGGGACUGAGAUACGGCCCAGACUCCUACGGGAGGCAGCAGUGGGGAAUAUUGCACAAUGGGCGGAAGCCUGAUGCAGCAACGCCGCGUGCGGGACGACGGCCUUCGGGUUGUAAACCGCUUUCGCCUGUGACGAAGCGUGAGUGACGGUAAUGGGUAAAGAAGCACCGGCUAACUACGUG